rnacentral:rRNA from 1 species
AUACGGAGGAUCCGAGCGUUAUCCGGAUUUAUUGGGUUUAAAGGGAGCGUAGGUGGAUUGUUAAGUCAGUUGUGAAAGUUUGCGGCUCAACCGUAAAAUUGCAGUUGAAACUGGCAGUCUUGAGUACAGUAGAGGUGGGCGGAAUUCGUGGUGUAGCGGUGAAAUGCUUAGAUAUCACGAAGAACUCCGAUUGCGAAGGCAGCUCACAAGACUGUUACUGACACUGAUGCUCGAAAGUGUGGGUAUCAAACAGGAUUAGAUACCCUGGUAGUCCACACAGUAAACGAUGAAUACUCGCUGUUUGCGAUAUACAGUAAGCGGCCAAGCGAAAGCAUUAAGUAUUCCACCUGGGGAGUACGCCGGCAACGGUGAAACUCAAAUGAUUGACGGGG